rnacentral:rRNA from 1 species
AGUGAACGCUGGCGGUAGGCCUAACACAUGCAAGUCGAACGGCAGCACAGGAGAGCUUGCUCUCUGGGUGGCGAGUGGCGGACGGGUGAGGAAUACAUCGGAAUCUACCUUUUCGUGGGGGAUAACGUAGGGAAACUUACGCUAAUACCGCAUACGACCUACGGGUGAAAGUGGGGGACCGCAAGGCCUCACGCGAUUAGAUGAGCCAAUGUCCGAUUAGCUAGUUGGCGGGGUAAUGGCCCACCAAGGCGACGAUCAGUAGCUGGUCUGAGAGGAUGAUCAGCCACACUGGAACUGAGACACGGUCCAGACUCCUACGGGAGGCAGCAGUGGGGAAUAUUGGACAAUGGGCGCAAGCCUGAUCCAGCCAUACCGCGUGGGUGAAGAAGGCCUUCGGGUUGUAAAGCCCUUUUGUUGGGAAAGAAAUCCUGUCGAUUAAUACUCGGUGGGGAUGACGGUACCCAAAGAAUAAGCACCGGCUAACUUCGUGCCAGCCGCCGCCGUAAUAC